rnacentral:lncRNA from 1 species
GGUAUCAGAGCCACGUCUCUUUAUUAAGGGUUUCACCACCCGAAGAGUAUGGAAGGCGAAGAGGGAAUUAACAAUGGGCAACCCGAGGCCAUGGACUUGACUUCGGUCACAAGGGACGACUUGAACACGGCUAUGGUCGCCCUCAAGACAUCCUUGACGAAUGAAGUCAAGACCAUGCUUAAAGAGUUAAUUGAGGGAUUUAAAAGUCCACCCGAACCGGCGUUAGUGGUUAAA